ACCCCCAUUUUUUUUAUCCGUGCACAUCAUCCACCACACCCCCGUCACAUGGCCCCCGCACAGAUCCAGGCUCCCCAAAACUCGCCGGCGACCGCCCCCAAACUCUCCGGCGUCCCCAGCUCCGCUGGUGGUCGCUGCUCGCUGCCGUGCUCCCGUUGCUCACCAGGGUAAUCCAGCUACCGCUGUGUACCGCCGCAUUCCAUUUCCGUCGCCACCGCGCGCUCCUCGCCGCAACCCAGCUACGUUUCCAGCCGAGCGCCGCCGCAAACCAGGGUGCUGCCGUACGGGAUCUACUCGUUCUCGGCUACACGUGCUCGGGCGCCAUCUCCGGCGCUCCGCCGCAAGUCUUCUUCGCAUCCAGGUGUCCUUCCCCAACUCUCCCUAUGUCCCUGGUAUCCAUCACCAGAGGUCCCGUCUUCUUGAUUUCCGCCUAUCCGGUGGGCACUAUGGUGGAGGCUCACCAACAGUGCAAUUGCAUAUGCUGCCGAGUAUGUGCAAUUCUCUACGCUGUCAAACUUGGGGUACAUGAACUUUUCAAAAAAAAAAACUUGGGGUACAUGUCCUCGCUGAUUUUGUUCGCUUCCCAGUCUGCUUGUUUUCUGUUGGUAUGCUGUAUGCAAGAUGAGGAUAUGGGAAGAAUGUGCUGAACCAAUACCGAAUUGUUGUCAAUUAGAUAGGGCUGCCUGCUUCCGUAGCUCACACUUUUUCUACAUAUUUCGGGGAACAUUUGUUGUUUCUUGCCUGAUUUUUUAAUGAAACUUUACUAUGCAUCUUUUGUAUGAGUCUGUUCAGUUUGAUAGUCAUUUUAUACCCUUGCAGAUAUUGUGGUGUGCUCAAACCUAAUAUAUGAUUACAUUUCCAAUUGGUGUGAGUUUCUUAGCAUGAUACAUGCAUGUGUUAUGAUAUUUGCACUAUUUUCCUACAGUUUCACAGUCUUGUCUGAGCCUUCCUGAGAUUGGAUUCAAGUGAACGUACGCAGAUCAGAAGGCUUCCUACAAUAGUAUGCUUAGCAAAUUUUGUGUAACUCACAUUCUAUUAUGUUUUUUCAUUGUCGUUACAAAGUAUGUGAAUAUGACUCAUACAAUGCAUUGAUAUGACUAGUCGGCUAGUAGCUCAAGUUAUGCAACUAGUAGCUGAAUCUGAUACUUCCAUGAACAAGAGAUGCGCAUACUCCCUUCUGUGUAAUCCUCCCUAUUUUUACUAAUAAUUAAUUUCUAGUUAAUUCACAUAGUCAGUUCCAUGGAUUUUCAGCAAGCUGAUUAAUUAUGCAAGCAAAUUUUUUAGAUGAGUUUUUAUCUGACUAAUUUUAUAGUCUAAAGUGGGAUGCUGGUUUCAGGCAAUAGUAAGUACAUGCAUGGACAGAUAGGUCUUAUCUGACUAAUUACUUGUUAUAUACUCCCUCCGUCUUGAAAUUUAAGUCAUCCUGGGAGUGUUUUACUGUGUCCAGAUUCAUAGAAUGUUCAAUGAAUCUGGACAUACAGUUUGUCUAGAUUCAGAUAAUGUUCAAUGAAUCUGGUAAAAUGCCAGAAUGACUUACAUUUCAGACAGAUGGAGUAUAUCAUCAAUUACACUAUUAUUUCAAUGUAAUUGAGGUGUAAAUAAUGACCCCCUUAGGCUUCAAUCCUUUUAAAAUUUGAAUUUUUAUAUUUACAGUUAGCACUUACUAUUUUUUACACCAUCAAUUACACUGUCAUUUAAUUAAGGUGUUAAUCAUUACCCCUUUUAUGUAUUUGAAUUUCAAAAUGGUCCUGCCAUUUUAUUUUAAUUUGAAUCAUUUUUAUUUCCUAACUUAUUUUCUGGUUCCUUUUAUGUAGAACUUUCUUAUACAUCUAGCUCAAGGUUUUUCCAGAUUCACACCAUCAACAUCAAGGAUGUUGAAGAACCUACUGAAGAACUAUCUUGGUGGAAACAUGACUAUAUCCUCUUGUGCCGUCAACUGAUGGGCCAGGGAUUUGGGAAUUAUAGGUUUAAUAUGGUUCAGCUUGAAGAAUUCAUCGUGGCCUGUUCAUUAAUUAAUGAUGCUAUAAAACUUGAUGAGAAAUGCUAAGAAUUUAAUCUGGUCGAGUUGGACACAGCCGUAUCAAGGAGAUCUUCCAUUCUAUUCGAUGCUGAUAACAUUAGCUUAGUGGAGGAUGCUCCUUUGUCACCUUAUGUCUCUGAAAUUGUCCCUAGGGACAAUUACAAGAAGUGCAAGUGCUCAAACCAUGUCAAUGUCUAGAAUUUGCUAAUAUGUGUUAUGAGACAUGGUUAAGUCUUUUACUAAUUUCUAUCAAUGGCCAUGUAUAUCGAGUUCAUCAGGUAGUCUUUUGUAAAAAUUAUGAGUGUGGAUGGUUGUCACAUCAAUAUGAUUGUUUCUAUUACACUCGUUUUUGUC